AAGAGUUUAGUUUAAAUUAAAAUAUUGGACUGUAAAUCUAAAGUUUUAGCUCUUG
rnacentral:tRNA from 1 species